rnacentral:rRNA from 1 species
AGACGGAGACCCGCACAAGCGGUGGAUGAUGUGGAUUAAUUCGAUGCAACGCGAAAACCUUACCUACCCUUGACAUGUCCGGAAUCCCGAAGAGAUUUGGGAGUGCUCGCAAGAGAACCGGAACACAGGUGCUGCAUGGCUGUCGUCAGCUCGUGUCGUGAGAUGUUGGGUUAAGUCCCGCAACGAGCGCAACCCUUGUCAUUAGUUGCCAUCAUUUGGUUGGGCACUCUAAUGAGACUGCCGGUGACAAACCGGAGGAAGGUGGGGAUGACGUCAAGUCCUCAUGGCCCUUAUGGGUAGGGCUUCACACGUCAUACAAUGGUCGGUACAGAGGGUUGCCAACCCGCGAGGGGGAGCUAAUCCCACAAAGCCGAUCGUAGUCCGGAUCGCAGUCUGCAACUCGACUGCGUGAAGUCGGAAUCGCUAGUAAUCGUGGAUCAGCAUGUCACGGUGAAUACGUUCCCGGGUCUU